rnacentral:rRNA from 1 species
UACGUAGGGGCGCAGCGUUGUCCGGAGUACUGGGCGUAAAGCGCACGCAGGCGGUCUGCUAAGUUUGGAGUGACAGUUGGUGGCUUAACUGCCAAAGUGCUUCGAAAACUGACAGACUUGAGGGCUUCAGAGGGACACGGAAUUCCGGGUGGAGUGGUGAAAUGCGUAGAGAUGUGGAGGAACACCGAUGGCGAAGGCAGCCCCCUGGGUCAAGAUUGACGCUCAUGCACGAAAGCGUGGGGAGCAAACAGG